GGGACACGUGGUAUCCUGUCUGAAUAUGGGGGGACCAUCCUCCAAGGCUAAAUACUCCUGACUGACCGAUAGUGAACCAGUACCGUGAGGGAAAGGCGAAAAGAACCCCGGCGAGGGGAGUGAAAAAGAACCUGAAACCGUGUACGUACAAGCAGUGGGAGCACGCUUAGGCGUGUGACUGCGUACCUUUUGUAUAAUGGGUCAGCGACUUAUAUUCUGUAGCAAGGUUAACCGAAUAGGGGAGCCGAAGGGAAACCGAGUCUUAACUGGGCGUUAAGUUGCAGGGUAUAGACCCGAAACCCGGUGAUCUAGCCAUGGGCAGGUUGAAGGUUGGGUAACACUAACUGGAGGACCGAACCGACUAAUGUUGAAAAAUUAGCGGAUGACUUGUGGCUGGGGGUGAAAGGCCAAUCAAACCGGGAGAUAGCUGGUUCUCCCCGAAAGCUAUUUAGGUAGCGCCUCGUGAAUUCAUCUCCGGGGGUAGAGCACUGUUUCGGCAAGGGGGUCAUCCCGACUUACCAACCCGAUGCAAACUGCGAAUACCGGAGAAUGUUAUCACGGGAGACACACGGCGGGUGCUAACGUCCGUCGUGAAGAGGGAAACAACCCAGACCGCCAGCUAAGGUCCCAAAGUCAUGGUUAAGUGGGAAACGAUGUGGGAAGGCCCAGACAGCCAGGAUGUUGGCUUAGAAGCAGCCAUCAUUUAAAGAAAGCGUAAUAGCUCACUGGUCGAGUCGGCCUGCGCGGAAGAUGUAACGGGGCUAAACCAUGCACCGAAGCUGCGGCAGCGACGCUUAUGCGUUGUUGGGUAGGGGAGCGUUCUGUAAGCCUGUGA
rnacentral:rRNA from 1 species